rnacentral:rRNA from 1 species
AUUGAACGCUGGCGGCAGGCCUAACACAUGCAAGUCGAACGAGUGGCGGACGGGUGAGUAAUGUCUGGGAAUCUGCCAGAUGGAGGGGGAUAACUACUGAAAACUGUAGCUAAUACCGCAUACCAUCAGAUGUGCCCAUAUGGGAUGGGCUUGUUGGUGGGGUAACGGCUCAUAAAGGCGACGAUCCCUAGCUUGUCUGAGAGGAUGACCAGCAACACUGGAACUGAGACACGGUCCAGAUUCCUACGGGAGGCAGCAGUGGGGAAUAUUGCACAAUGGGCGCAAGCCUGAUGCAGCCAUGCCGCGUGUAUGAAGAAGGCCUUCGGGUUGUAAAGUACUUUCAGCGGGGAGGCGUUACCCGCAGAAGAAGCACCGGCUAACUCCGUGCCAGCAGCCGCGGUAAUUC